UACGUAGGGAGCAAGCGUUGUCCGGAAUCAUUGGGCGUAAAGCGCGCGUAGGUGGCCCAGUAAGUCCGUUCUGAAAGUCACAGGCUCAACCUGUGAAGCGGAUGGAUACUGCUGGGCUAGAGUCCGGAAGAGGCGAGUGGAAUUCCUGGUGUAGGCGGUGGAAUGCGGCAGAUAUCAGGAGGAACACCAACGGCGAAGGCAGCUCGCUGGGACGGUACUGACACUAAGGCGCGAAAGCGUGGGGAGCGAACGAGG
rnacentral:rRNA from 1 species